rnacentral:rRNA from 1 species
UACGGGGGGGGGGGCAAGCGUUGUUCGGAAUUACUGGGCGUAAAGGGCUCGUAGGCGGCCAACUAAGUCAGACGUGAAAUCCCUCGGCUUAACCGGGGGAACUGCGUCUGAUACUGGAUGGCUUGAGUUUGGGAGAGGGAUGCGGAAUUCCAGGUGUAGCGGUGAAAUGCGCAGAUAUCAGGAGGAACACCAAUGGCGAAGGCAGCUCGCUGGAACGGGUACUGACGCUGAGGCGCGAAAGCGUGGGGGAGCGAACAGG